rnacentral:rRNA from 1 species
AUACGUAGGGGGCAAGCGUUGUCCGGAUUCAUUGGGCGUAAAGAGCUCGUAGGCGGCUCAGUAAGUCGGGUGUGAAACCCUCAGGCUCAACCUGGGGACGCCACUCGAUACUGCUGUGCUAGAGUCCAGUAGGGGAGUGUGGAAUUCCCGGUGUAGCGGUGAAAUGCGCAGAUAUCGGGAGGAACACCAGCGGCGAAGGCGGCACUCUGGGCUGGUACUGACGCUGAGGAGCGAAAGCGUGGGUAGCAAACA